CAAAAAGAAGUGCAAAAAGUGCAAAAAGAUGAGUCCUACAUCAUCCAAGAGUACUGAAAACUCCAAACAACUUUCAAUUGAGAAAUUAUCAUGGCUAAAUAAUCCACAAGGCACAGCAGAUCUUACUGGAUCAAGCCCACACAUGAGCCUCCACAUGGCGUCUGGGAUUCGUGGUCACUUGGCUGGUGACGGAGGGGGUUACUCACUUGCAUUACCUGGCUCACACUGGAUUCACCACUCUACAUGGCUCUUUUGACAUCUUGGUGGAAGGUCCUCUCAAUCAUAUUGCUGGAUCCUAUUGCUACACACAGAGCCACGUGGAGGACAGAAGUUAGCACGAGCCAUUGUACAAGUGGGAUGUCUCCCUUCAUCUCCCAUCAAGGAAGCUGCAUUGAAGAAGGGGGCCAGCUGCACAAGGAAGCUCAUGAACCCUCAUAUUGGACUGAAAUUUGCCAUAUCCAAGUGAGGAGGAGGAACAAAUACAGGAACAUUGCUCAAACAACAUCUAUGAGAGGAAGAUGGAGGAAGUGGGUGACCAUUAGGCUCCAGAACCUAGCCCCAAUUCUCAUAAAUUCAAGGUCUUGUUUUUUGCA